ACUGCACACUGUAACCAAUCACCGUUCACGAUCUAUGCGGAAAUUGUAUGCACCAUACGCAUGCGCACAAACACCAACGAGAGCAGGUUCAUAUUCGUAUUAUUAUUAGCUAGCUAGUAAUCCGUUAAAAUAUACACAUUUUAUACAAUUUCUACGUGGGUAUGGCAGAGGAGGUAACGAAAACCACAGGCGGACUCUCAGUGGGUGGGCUGUAUGUGUCUGACAAAGAAGGAAAUGACCAGGAUGGUGAUGGAACAGAGCAGAAGCCUUUCAAGACCUCAUUGAGGGCUUUGACAUUUGCUGGAAAGGAGCCAUUCCCCACCAUCUAUGUGGACUCUCAGAAGGACGGAGAGCGUUGGGCAGUGAUCUCCAAGACGCAGAUGAAAAAUGUGAUGAAGGUAUUUGCUAGAGAGCAGAUGAAGAGCGACUCCAAAGACAAAAAGGAGGCAGAGGAUUCUGAGAGACGAGAGAAGAACCUGGAAGAUGCUAAGAAAAUCACCAUCGAGAAUGACUCAAGCCUUCCAGAGCCCAAAACGGUGAAAAUCUAUCAGCUGGAGCCUCUCCGGGGGGAGAGAGUGAAGGUGUUUGGCUGGGUGCACCGAAUGAGAAAACAAGGAAAGAACCUGCUGUUCAUCGUGCUGAGAGAUGGAACUGGUUUCCUGCAGUGUGUUCUCAACGAUAAAUUGUGUCAGUGUUAUAAUGCCCUGGUGCUGUCCACUGAAAGCACAGUGGCUCUGUAUGGGACAGUGAAGCAAGUACCUGAGGGAAAGCAGGCCCCUGGUGGUCAUGAGCUGCACUGUGACUUCUGGGAGCUGGUGGGUCUGGCGCCAGCUGGAGGAGCUGACAACCUGCUGAACAUGGAGUCUGAUGUUGACGUUCAGCUCAACAACAGACACAUGAUGAUCCGUGGGGAGAACGUGUCCAAGAUACUCCGGAUCCGCUCCACUGUCACACAGUGUUUCAGGGAUCACUUCUUCAACCGUGGAUACUAUGAGAUCACCCCACCCACUCUGGUGCAGACCCAGGUGGAGGGAGGUUCCACCCUGUUCAACCUGAACUACUUUGGGGAGGAGGCGUUCCUGACCCAGUCCUCUCAGCUCUACCUGGAGACCUGCAUCCCUGCUCUGGGAGACACCUUCUGUAUCGCUCAGUCCUACCGCGCAGAGCAGUCCCGCACCCGCAGGCACCUGUCUGAGUACACUCACAUAGAGGCAGAGUGCCCCUUCAUGACCUAUGAGGACCUACUGAGCAGGCUGGAGGAUCUGGUGUGUGAUGUGGUGGACAGAGUCCUGAAGUCUCCUGCUGCUUCUCUACUCUACCAAGUCAACCCUGACUUCAAGCCCCCCAAGAGGCCCUUCAAGAGGAUUAACUACUCAGAUGCCAUCAUCUGGCUGAAGGAGCAUGACAUCAAAAAGGAUGAUGGGACAUACUAUGAGUUCGGAGAGGACAUCCCAGAGGCCCCAGAGAGGCUGAUGACUGAUGCCAUCGGUGAGACCAUCCUGCUGUGCCGCUUCCCUGCUGAGAUCAAGUCCUUCUACAUGCAGCGCUGUCCUGAGGACCGACGCCUCACUGAGUCGGUGGAUGUGCUGAUGCCUAAUGUUGGAGAGAUAGUAGGAGGGUCUAUGAGGAUCUGGGAUGCUGAGGAACUGCUGGAGGGAUACAAGAGGGAAGGCAUUGACCCAGCCCCUUACUACUGGUACACUGACCAGAGGAAGUAUGGGACCUGUCCCCAUGGUGGCUACGGGCUGGGCCUGGAGAGGUUCCUAACCUGGCUGCUGAACAGACACCACAUCAGAGACGUGUGUCUCUAUCCCCGCUUCAUCCAGCGCUGCCGACCCUGAACUACCAACUACCCUGCCCCCUGCUGGAGAUGGAUCACACUGCCUUUCAAGAGACCAAGAAUCAAAUCAAAUGAAAUUGUAUUUUGUCAGAUGCGCUGAACAGGUGUAGACCUUAGCUUGAAAUGCUUACUUACAAGCCUUUAACCAACAAUGCAGUUCAAUAAAUAGAUUUAAGAAAAUAUUUACUAAAUAAACUUUAAAAAAUCUAAUCAAUCACAAGGUAACACAAGAAAUGUACAUAACAAUAACGAGGCUACAUACAGGGGGUACCGGUACUGAGUCAAUGUGUGGGGAUACAGGUUAAUCGAGGUAAUUUGAAUGCAUUCCAAAUGGCAACCUAUUCCAUAUAUAGUGCUAUUUUUUUUACAAGAGCAUCCCAAAAGCAACCUUUUCCCUAUAUAAAAAAUUGUUAGAAAAAAUAUAAAGGUAAACCACCUUCGGGAUCAGUGUCCCUCCACCGGGACAGUUGAGCUAACAUGCGCUAAUGUGAUUAGCAUGAGGUUGUAAGCAACAAGAACAUUUCCUGGGACAUAGACAUGUCUUAUAUGGGCAGAAAGCUUAAAUUCUUGUUCAUCUAACUGCACUGUCCAAUUUACAGUAGCUAUUACAGUGGGAAAAAAAGACCAUGCUAUUGUUUGAGGAUAGUGCACAACAACAAAACAUUUGUCGCAGCAACUGGUUUGAUACAUUCACCUCUGAAGGUAAAUAAUGUACUUACAUUCAGUAAUCUUGCUCUGAUUUGUCAUCCUGAGGGUCCCAUAAAUAAAAUGUAGCAAGCAUAUUUUUGUUUGAUAAAAAUCAAUUUUUAUAUUCAAAUGUAGGAACUGGUUUCUACAGUUUCAAACCCUGCUGUCUCUAGCUCCUGGCCAUCUAGAUGUGUAUAAGUCAAUUAUCCAUCAUGUAUGACAUUCCUGGGAGUGUGUGAACUUUAAUUUUAUAUAACCACCGUACUUGAAAAUGUAUCAAUUGACCAAUUUGGGCAGAUACAAAAUAUUGUCCAGUAUUGAAAUGUUUCACUGGAUCAAUCUGAAACUUUGCUGCCUUCUAGUGGCUGAAAUCUAAACUGCAAUAAUACAUUAUGGCCUUGCUCUUGCAUUUCACCAGAUCUAAUGUGUUAUAUUCUCCUGCAUUAAUUUCACAUUUCCACAAACUUCAGUGUUUCCUUUCAAAUGGUAUCAAGAAUAUGCAUAUCCUUGCUUCAGAUAUGUCAGACCCAUUUAUUAACUAGGCAAGUCAGUAAAGAACAUUCUUAUUUACAAUGACGGCCUACACUGGCCAACUGUGUGUCACCCUUAUGGGACUCCCAAUCACGGCCGGUUGUUAAACAGCCCUAUAUAGUGCUAUUUAUUUUUUAUCAGAGCUUCCCACAUGGCAUCCUAUUCCCUGUAUAGUGCUAUUUUUGACCAGAGCACUAUCCCUAUAUAGCACCCUUAUUUUGACAGGGACCAACAGUAGUGCACUAUAUAGAGAAUAGAGUGCCAUUUGGAAAGAAGCCCCAUCAUACUUUUUUUCUGUACUGGCCCCCCCGUGGGAAUUGCACCCACAACCCUGGCGUUGCACACACCAUGCUCUACCAACUGAGCCACAGGGAAGACAACAGUACUGCAAGAGGCCAACAUACAAGGCUGGAGAACUAAGACAAGAUCACUUAAUUACACUAACAAAUCCCUGCAAAUGUAAGAUUUGAAAUGUGUUUUCAAACAUGAAAUUCAUGCUGUCCAUCAAAUACUAUUUGUCUGCCAAUAAUUGUAUACUGCAUACGCUACAAUGUCUGUCUGGAAUGUUCUGUGGAGACACGCAUCCUGUUAACAUCUCUUGUAUAUUGUGACAAAUUACUGAUCCACUACUGUUGCAAUAAUCCUGUUAAACAAAGUGAAAUACAAGGGUUAGAAUUUGA